UACAGCCAUAUCACAUUGAAACACCAGUUCUUGUACAAUCACUAAAGUUAAGCAACGUUGAGCCUGGUCAGCACCUAGAUGGGUGACCAUUUGAGAAUACCAGGUGCUGUAAG